CCUACGGGGGGCAGCAGUCGAGAAUCUUUCACAAUGGGGGAAACCCUGAUGGUGCAACGCCGCGUGGGGGAAUGAAGCUCUUCGGUUUUUAAACCCCUUUCAUGUGGGAGCAAAUUAAAAAGUUAGUGCCACAAGAGGAAGGGCCGGCUAAGUCUGUGCCAGCAGCCGCGGUAAUACAGAGGACUCAAGCGUUGUUCGGAUUCACUGGGCGGAAAGCGUGCGUAGGCGGUUUCGUAAGUCGUGUGUGAAAGGCGCGGGCUUAACCCGCGGACGGCACAUGAUACUGCGAGGCUGGAGUAAGGGAGGGGUAGCUGGAAUUCUCGGUGGAGCAGUGAAAUGCGUAGAGAUCGAGAGGAACACUCAUGGCGAAGGCGGCUUCCUGGACCGUAACUGACGCUGAGGCACGAAGGCCAGGGGAGCGAAAGGGAUUAGAUACCCGGGUAGUC
rnacentral:rRNA from 1 species